rnacentral:rRNA from 1 species
AGUUCGAUUAUGGCUCAGAUUGAACGCUGGCGGGAUGCUUUACACAUGCAAGUCGAACGGCAGCACGGACUUCGGUCUGGUGGCGAGUGGCGAACGGGUGAGUAAUGUAUCGGAACGUGCCUAGUAGUGGGGAUAACUACGCGAAAGCGUAGCUAAUACCGCAUACGCCCUUCGGGGAAAGCGGGGACCUUCGGGCCUCGCACUAUUAGAGCGGCCGAUAUCGGAUUAGCUAGUUGGUAAGUAACGGCUCACCACAGGGUGACGAUCCGUAGCUGGUUUGAGAGGACGACCAGCCACACUGGGACUGAGACACGGCCCAGACUCCUACGGGAGGCAGCAGUGUGGGGAAUUUUGACAAUGGGGGAAACCCUGAUCCAGCCAUCCCGCGUGUGCGAUGGAAGGCCUUCGGGUUGUAAAGCACUUUUGGCAGGAAAGAAACGGCACGGGAUAAUACCCCCGUGCAACUGACGGUACCUGCAGAAUAAGCACCAUGCUAACUACGUGCCAGCAGCUGCGGUAACAUGGAAAAAGCGUUAAUCGGAAUUACUGGGCGCAAAGCGUGCGCAGGCGGUUCGGAAAGAAAGAUGUGAAAUCCCAGAGCUUAACUUUGGAACUGCAUUUUUAACUACCGAGCUAGAGUGUGUCAGAGGGAGGUGAAUUCCGCGUAGCAGUGAAAUGUGUAGAUAUGCGGAGGAACACCGAUGGCGAAGGCAGCCUCCUGAUAACACUGACGCUCAUGCACGAAAGCGUGGGGAGCAAACAGAUUAGAUACCCUGGUAGUCCACGCCCUAAACGAUGUCAACUAGCUGUUAGCCCGGCCCGGUAGCGCAGCUAACGCGUGGUUGACCGCCUGGGGAGUAAUGGUCGCAAGAUUAAAACUCAAAAAGGAAUUGACGGGACCCGCACAGCGGUGGAUGAUGUGGAUUAAUUCGAUGCAACGCGAAAACCUACCUACCCUUGACAUGUCUGGAAUCCCGAAGAGAUUUGGGAGUGCUCGCAAGAGAACCGGAACACAGGUGCUGCAUGGCUGUCGUCAGCUCGUGUCGAGAUGUUGGGUUAAGUCCCGCAACGAGCGCAACCCUUGUCAUUAGUUGCUACGUGAAAGGGCACUCUAAUGAGAGACUGCCGGUGACAAACCGGAGGAAGGUGGGGAUGACGUCAAGUCCUCGCGGUCUUUAUGGGUAGGGCUUCACACGUCAUACAAUGGUCGGGACAGAGGGUCGCCAACCUCGCGAGGGGGAGCCAAUCCCAGAAAACCCGGAUCGUAGUCCGGAUCGCGUCUGCAACUCGACUGCGUGAAGUCGGAACGCCAAGGUCGCGGAUCACAUAACGCAAGGGAAUACGUUCCUCGGUCUUUGUGCUGCACGCCACCGUCAUAUCAGCGGAGGUUUUUACCUUGAGAAGAAGUUGAAAAUAACCAGUGGUGGAGGCGACGCCAAUGUGGAUUCAUGACUGGGGUGAAGUCGUAACAAGGUAGCUCU